CAUUUCUUUUCUUUUCUAGGUAUAUUCUUCUUUAGCCAGCUUUUUGAUGCUGAGUUGUAGGCUCUGUUGCAGGCUGUGCCAAAGAAAAAUUAGCAUGCUGUUUGUUUUUUUCUCAGCUGUUCAGCACUGCCAUAUAGAGUGCAGUUUAUUUUGGGUUGUACAGUAGGGUCUGUCAGGCAUCACAUGAUGAGAAGUUCUAAAGGGAAAAGAUUGUCUUUUGAGAUGUAAAAUGCUAUAGACUGACUAACAGGGUCUGCUUAAGGUGAGUAGAAUGGGAUCAAAGAGGGCAUGAUUCACCUUUUCAUAAGCCUAAGG